rnacentral:lncRNA from 10 species
CCAAAACCAGCAGCCAAUUUGGAUACCAUCAAGACACCUGAAGCCUUAUCAUGAGCCAGAUCCCGAGAAAGAGAUUCUGGGAGGAUCCUGAGGAGUCCCCCAUUGCAGUCAUGUCGAGACUGACACUGAGGAGGACCCCAACUGUCAAGAGCAACACCCGUCAAACACAGCCACAUACCUGGGGACAGAUCAAAAAUCUGUCAUGGGUGGUGGAAGAAAAUCUGAGGAAAGCGGAACAACCAGUCACAUCUGCAGAUAUGGAUCCCAAUUCCUGUGAGAAGUAGCUCACCAUGAUAAGGUCACCUUUGCUUUUAUCAUCUUGCAAAAACAAAAGGGGGGAACAUGUUGCGAACAGGUCCCUAAAUCUGGCCAUAAACUGGCCCCAAAACUGGCCAUAAACAAAACCUCUGCAGCACUGUGACAUGUUCAUGAUGGCCAUGAUGCCCACGCUGAAGGUUGUUGGUUUAUUGGAACGAGGGCAAGGAACACCUGGCCCACCCAUGGCGGGCAGAAAACUGCUUAAACACAUUCCUAAACCACAUACAAUAGCAUGAGUGUUCUAUGCCUUAAGGACAUGUUCCUGCUGCAGAAAACUAGCCAAAGCCCAUCCAUUUGUUUCAGCCCAUCCUUUUGUUUCUCCUAAGGAAUACUUUUAGUUAAUCCAUACUCUAUAGAAAAAAGCCUUCUUACUAGCUUGUUGUCAAUAAAUAUUUGGGUAAAUCUCUGUUUGUGGCUUCCAGCUCCAAAAGCUGUCAGGCCACUGAUUUCCCAC